GGCGGCAAACUGAUAAGUUAGCAUCCUAGCUCCCACAUUUUGGCUAUAAAUAGCACGAAACAUAAGCCGCAAUGCGUCACCAAUGUUCAGUAGGAAGAAGAAGCCUGGGAGAAGAUGGGUCUUGCAUGAGGGCCAGAGCCUGCCUGGUCUGGUAGCCAAGGAUGACUUGCCUAUAUGCUCUUUCAGAAGCCCCGGUUAUUACAUGGCUGGUUUCGGAUGAGUUCCAUGAUAGGCGGUCACCUUGGCUAGCCUGAGCAGCUCUUGUCUGUCAUGGAAGGCCUCUCCUUCUCAUUCUCGGCCAUUCUAUCUCAGGGUCUUAGGACUGUUUGAAUUUCAGCUGACAGGUAAUAUGAUUCAAUGGCUAUUCAUGAAUAUAUAUGGCCUGUAGUUAUUUGUUUCCAGUGCUCCAAUGCAUCUGCCCCUGCUAUCUACGGUGUCCUAGAGAAUUGUUGAUGUCCUAGAGAACAGUAAUUGCCAUUUUUCUGCUCUCACAGCUAGCCAAAUCAUCACAAUUAUCAUAGCCGUUGGAUAAGCUAGCUCAAUCCACAAUACCCGUGCGAUCAAGAUGUUGAGAGCCUCUCCACUAAACAGCAUGCAGUACCCUACGCUUACAAUUUAAGUGGGUUUUUAAUACUAUCAUCACCUCCUAUUAAGUUCAGACUCAUGUAUGGUUCGCCCUCUCAUCACAUGGCAAAGCAACGUAGGCCAGACCAUGCAAGGGGAUAGUACGUUUUAUUUUUAUUAAACCUUCAAUUACUCUGAGCAUGUAGACCAAUAUAGGUCACCAUGCGUCAUGUCAGCACUUCCUGUUUUGGUUUUUUUUUCUUCUGAAAAGGAGGAUGACCCCGGCCAAGACCCUGCUGCACCACGCUGCCGAGACUCCACAUCAUCGAUGCGUGACAUGGGACGCCGCUCCACCAUUAAAACCGUCCGCUGGUCCCUCGAGCCAAUGCACACCUUCAAAAAUGACGCCCCAAAAAGAGAACGACACAAGAGCGCCGUCAUUAUCAGAUCGACUGAUCAAGGGUUUCUUUCGGAGGUAGCGAGAGGAGUUGGGAGCUUCACCUCGAUGAUGCCUUCAUGAAGGAAGCAACGCCAAAGGCGUCACCAUCACCGGCUCCGGCCAUCGGCCGAAGACCAGAUGUUCAUCCAGAUCUGUCCCAAGAACAUCCAAGCGUACUGGUCGGGACGCGCGAAGGCAAGAGUCCGGAUAGGCAAAGCCAAGGUGUGCACGCGCAUUAGUCUGGCUAGCGCAAACGUACAAGCAUAGUCGAGGGCAUGCGACCCUGACAGGGUGACCCGGCCUCUCCUCGCGCAGCGCACCGUAUGGAGCGGCACACGCGGGCGCGAUCAAAAUCACCACAUAACGGUGACCCCGGCGCGCCCACGGUCCACCCAUUAUAGACCCCCUAGGUAGGCCGGGCGUUGUUCGAGCAGAUCAGACCGUGCGGAGAGCCCCAGGAAGGCAGCUGCAGGAGUCCAGCACAAAACGGACGGCGCAGAGAGCCUCCUUGCCGAGCAGGUCUCUAGCACUGGUCGGCUGGUGUGAGUGUGACACACGCCCCGCUUGUCGCGAGCAAACCAGUCCGACGCAGGCUGAAGACUCCGACAGACAGGUCCGCCUUUCCCAUCGCGCGCGGGGCAACAUGCGUAACCUAGCACGAUGGCCUAGGUUGCGUCCACGGUCCAUCUAUCAUGAACCCCUGAGGCGACCCGUCUGGAUCCGCGCCGUCCGGGCAGAUCGAUCGGCACGAAAAGCCCAGAGAGGCGCCCGCGGCACGCCACCACACAACGGACGGCGUGUAGGCCCUCCUCGUCCUUGGAGGCUCCCACUAAUUUGUACGGAUUGGAGCUAGGCAUCAAUAAAUUGAGUUUCGGUGACACAGGAUAGGCACAACCGCAUAAGACCACCAUGGCAUGAAUGAAAACAAAAAACGAACGGUGCUGCUAGCUGAAGUCAUCGCCCGGAACAAACCUGAGAGCAACCGAGGAUAGCCUCUUUUUCUUGUAUUCCUCCCGAAGCUUGCAACUCAAAACAGACACCGCUGAGAAACGGAGAGAACGCAGACUGCAGCAUGCAAGGCUCAAGGAAUGCGUACUCAUCCCAAGGCAAGAAAGAUUCAUCCUUCUCGAAUCAUUACCAAUCGGUGGUUCUUUGGUAAUUGCGUUCCAGCACACGUCCUUUUUCCUCAUGAAGAUUCUUGCUGUUGUCCUACUUCGGUUCUUGCAAAGAGCCUCACAUGUGGUGUGAUUUUCUGCUUGAUCAUUGUUUCUGAAUGCUUAGUUGGAGUUUAAAUCCAAAUAAACAUUCUCUGAAGUUGGUACGGUUUGUAUUUUUUGAAGGCAAAAAACUGAAGUUGAUAGAUUUACGCCCUGUAUUCUUUUUCGUGGAAACCUGUUUCAGUGCACAACUUGUUCCCAUACCCUGAAGCAAGCGUGUACCCGCCACCGAGCUCACAUGGCUACCAGACCCACCUUGGCGAAGAGAACCCUUCCUAUAACUGGGCAGGGCAACCGGCUCCAUCUGAUCGUGGACCUCACUUGUACAGCUACCAAGAUGAUCCUGACUGCCUCACCUUCCUGAGAGGAUGGUAUGAUGCUUUUUCUGAGCUCAUUUCUCUACAUAGCAUGCAUAGUUGGGACAUGCAGUUUGUUACUCCCUCCGUUCUAAAUUACUCGUCGCAGAAAUGGAUGUAUCUAAAACUAAAAUACAUCUAGAUACAUCCAUACUUACGACAAGUAAUUCAGAACGGAGGGAGUAGUAUAUAUGGGCUUUGUUAGGCCCUGCUACUGGCUGUGCUACUGCUAACCGGUACCCCGUGAUGGCUACAUGCUUGGCUGGGCUGUGCUGCUGCUGCUUGUUGGAGCAGUGUUGCUACUACUGACUGCUACUACGAUUACCUGCUGAGACGUGUGUCUAGCCUUCUCCCCUUGGGUGAUUCCCGGGUACUCAAGUUGAACAACUUUGCUUGUGCCUGACUAUGGUCUCAUCUGUACUCCUGUGUAACUCUAGACAUGAGUGAAAUAAUGAGGCUGCCAGCCGGUUCUUUCUUUGCAAGUUC